CGAGCGUUGUCCGGAAUUACUGGGCGUAAAGAGCUCGUAGGUGGUUUGUCGCGUUGUUCGUGAAAACUCACAGCUUAACUGUGGGCGUGCGGGCGAUACGGGCAGACUGGAGUACUGCAGGGGAGACUGGAAUUCCUGGUGUAGCGGUGGAAUGCGCAGAUAUCAGGAGGAACACCGGUGGCGAAGGCGGGUCUCUGGGCCGAUACUGACGCUGAGGAGCGAAAGCGUGGGGAGCAAACAGG
rnacentral:rRNA from 1 species